rnacentral:rRNA from 1 species
GCGGCGUGCUUAACACAUGCAAGUCGAACGAACCUUCGGGUUAGUGGCGGACGGGUGAGUAACGCGUGGGAAUCUGCCCUCAGGAGGGGGAUAACGGUUGGAAACGACCGCUAAUACCCCAUAUGCCGAGAGGUGAAAUGAAUUUCGCCUGAGGAUGAGCCCGCGUCUGAUUAGCUUGUUGGUGAGGUAAUGGCUCACCAAGGCUUCGAUCAGUAGCUGGUCUGAGAGGAUGAUCAGCCACACUGGGACUGAGACACGGCCCAGACUCCUACGGGAGGCAGCAGUGGGGAAUUUUCCGCAAUGGGCGAAAGCCUGACGGAGCAACGCCGCGUGAGGGAUGAAGGCCUCUGGGCUGUAAACCUCUUUUCUCAAGGAAGAAGAUAUGACGGUACUUGAGGAAUAAGCCACGGCUAAUUCCGUGCCAGCAGCCGCGGUAAUACGGGAGUGGCAAGCGUUAUCCGGAAUUAUUGGGCGUAAAGCGUCCGCAGGCGGCCCUUCAAGUCUGCUGUAAAAACGUGGAGCUUAACUCCAUCAUCGCAGUGGAAACUGUAGGGCUUGAGUGUGGUAGGGGCAGAGGGAAUUCCCGGUGUAGCGGUGAAAUGCGUAGAUAUCGGGAAGAACACCAGUGGCGAAGGCGCUCUGCUGGGCCAUAACUGACGCUCAUGGACGAAAGCCAGGGGAGCGAAAGGGAUUAGAUACCCCUGUAGUCCUGGCCGUAAACGAUGAACACUAGGUGUCGGGGGAAUCGACCCCCUCGGUGUCGUANCUAACGCGUUAAGUGUUCCGCCUGGGGAGUACGC